UUACGGGAGGCAGCAGUGGGGAAUUUUGCGCAAUGGACGAAAGUCUGACGCAGCAACGCCGCGUGGAGGAUGAAGGCCUUCGGGUCGUAAACUCCUGUCGAUGGGGACGAAAGCCUAGCAAUAGGAUUGACUGUACCCGUUGAGGAAGCCACGGCUAACUCCGUGCCAGCAGCCGCGGUAAUACGGAGGUGGCAAGCGUUGUUCGGAAUUACUGGGCGUAAAGGGCGCGUAGGCGGCUUAACAAGUCAGAUGUGAAAGCCCCGGGCUUAACUCGGGAACUGCAUCUGAAACUGUAGAGCUUGAGUUCUGGAGGGGGUAGUGGAAUUCCCAGUGUAGCGGUGAAAUGCGUAGAUAUUGGGAGGAACACCUGCGGCGAAGGCGGCUACCUGGACAGAAACUGACGCUGAGGCGCGAAAGCUAGGGGAGCGAACGGGAUUAGAUACCCCGGUAGC
rnacentral:rRNA from 1 species